rnacentral:rRNA from 1 species
CGAAGCGGUGACGUGGAGCAAACCUCAGAAAGCCAAUCUCAGUUCGGAUUGUAGGCUGCAACUCGCCUACAUGAAGUUGGAAUCGCUAGUAAUCGCGAAUCAGAAUGUCGCGGUGAAUACGUUCCCGGGUCUUGUACACACCGCCCGUCACACCACGAGAGUUUACAACACCCGAAGUCAGUGGCCUAACCGCAAGGAGGGAGCUGCCUAAGGUGGGGUAGAUGAUUGGGGUGAAGUCGUAACAAGGUAUC